rnacentral:rRNA from 1 species
CCCGGGUCUUGUACACACCGCCCGUCACACCAUGGGAGCGGGUUCUGCCAGAAGUAGUUAGCCUAACCGCAAGGGGGGCGAUUACCACGGCAGGGUUCGUGACUGGGGUG